UACCAGCAGACAUCCCUGGUUCAG
rnacentral:piRNA from 1 species